UACGUAGGCAGCGAGCGUUGUUCGGAGUUACUGGGCGUAAAGGGUGUGUAGGCGGUUCUUUAAGUUUGGUGUGAAAUCUCCCGGCUCAACCGGGAGGUGACGCCGAAUACUGAGGGACUUGGAGUGCGGGAGAGGAAAGUGGAAGUUCCUGGUGUAGCGGUGAAAUGACGUAGAUAUCAGGAGGAACACCGGUGGUGUAGACGGCUUUCUGGACCGUAACUGACGCUGAGACACGAAAGCGUGGGUAGCAAACAGG
rnacentral:rRNA from 1 species